UACGGGGGGGGCAAGCGUUGUUCGGAAUUACUGGGCGUAAAGGGCUCGUAGGCGGCCAACUAAGUCAUACGUGAAAUCCCUCGGCUUAACCGGGGAACUGCGUCUGAUACUGGAUGGCUUGAGUUCGGGAGAGGGAUGCGGAAUUCCAGGUGUAGCGGUGAAAUGCGUAGAUAUCUGGAGGAACACCGGUGGCGAAGGCGGCAUCCUGGACCGAUACUGACGCUGAGACGCGAAAGCGUGGGGAGCAAACAGG
rnacentral:rRNA from 1 species